rnacentral:rRNA from 1 species
GAUGAACGCUGGCGGCGUGCCUAAUACAUGCAAGUCGAGCGAACAGACGAGGAGCUUGCUCCUUUGACGUUAGCGGCGGACGGGUGAGUAACACGUGGAUAACCUACCUAUAAGACUGGGAUAACUUCGGGAAACCGGAGCUAAUACCGGAUAACAUGUUGAACCGCAUGGUUUAACAGUGAAAGACGGUCUUGCUGUCACUUAUAGAUGGAUCCGCGCCGCAUUAGCUAGUUGGUAAGGUAACGGCUUACCAAGGCAACGAUGCGUAGCCGACCUGAGAGGGUGAUCGGCCACACUGGAACUGAGACACGGUCCAGACUCCUACGGGAGGCAGCAGUAGGGAAUCUUCCGCAAUGGGCGAAAGCCUGACGGAGCAACGCCGCGUGAGUGAAGAAGGUCUUCGGAUCGUAAAACUCUGUUAUUAGGGAAGAACAAAUGUGUAAGUAACUAUGCACGUCUUGACGGUACCUAAUCAGAAAGCCACGGCUAACUACGUG